GUCAUUUCACAGUCUUGUCAGCCAGCUGCAACAACAUAGAGGUGGGUCUAGCUCUUCCAAUGCCCAACCUCUUAUAAAUUACCAGGGGAAUAGGAUUGAUGCUAGCCCCUAGAUAAUAUAGUGCCUUAGAAAAAGCAAAAUUACCAAUAGUGCAUGGGAUUGUAAAGCUCCCUGGGUCAGACAGCUUUUCCGCAAUUGGUCUAGUCACCACUGCACUAAAGGUCUAAGUAAGAGUAACUGUGGCCAAGUCCUGGAAAUUAAACUUUCGGAACAUCAAGUCCUUCAUCAUUUUUCCAU
rnacentral:lncRNA from 1 species